GAUGAACGCUAGCGGCAGGCCUAAUACAUGCAAGUCGAACGGUGUCUUCGGACAUAGUGGCGCACGGGUGCGUAACACGUAUGCAACCUACCUUACAUUGGGGGAUAGCCUUUCGAAAGGGAGAUUAAUACCGCAUAAGACAGUAGCUGGGCAUCCAGCAGCUGUUAAAGAUUUAUCGAUGUAAGCUGGGCAUGCGUCCAAUUAGCUAGUUGGUGAGGUAAUGGCUCACCAAGGCAAUGAUUGGUAGGGGAACUGAGAGGUCAAUCCCCCACACUGGCACUGAGAUACGGGCCAGACUCCUACGGGAGGCAGCAGUAGGGAAUAUUGGGCAAUGGACGCAAGUCUGACCCAGCCAUGCCGCGUGCAGGAUGAAGGCGUUAUGCGUUGUAAACUGCUUUUAUACAGGAAGAAACGACUCUUGCGAGAGGCAUUGACGGUACUGUAUGAAUAAGCACCGGCUAACUCCGUGCCAGCAGCCGCGGUAAUACGGAGGGUGCAAGCGUUGUCCGGAUUUAUUGGGUUUAAAGGGUGCGCAGGUGGUUUAUUAAGUCAGUGGUGAAAGACGGUCGCUCAACGAUUGCAGUGCCAUUGAAACUGGUAGACUUGAGUAAAGUAGAGGUGGGCGGAAUUGAUAGUGUAGCGGUGAAAUGCAUAGAUAUUAUCAAGAACUCCAAUUGCGUAGGCAGCUCACUUGGCUUUU
rnacentral:rRNA from 1 species